GUUCCUGUAGUUGAAGUAACAACGGUGGUUUUUCAGGCCAUAGGUCUUGGAGGUAAGCCAAGUAGGAAUU
rnacentral:tRNA from 1 species